ACGGAGGGUGCAAGCGUUAUCCGGAUUCAUUGGGUUUAAAGGGUGCGUAGGUGGGCAGGUAAGUCAGUGGUGAAAUCUUCCGGCUUAACUGGAAAACUGCUAUUGAUACUAGUUGACUUGAAUAUAGCGGAGGUAAGGGGAACAUCUCAUGUAGCGGUGAAAUGCAUAGAUAUGACAUAGAACACCAAUUGCGAAGGCAGCUUACUGCACUAUAAUUGACACUGAUGCACGAAAGCGUGGGGAGCAAACAG
rnacentral:rRNA from 1 species